UUAUCGAAGUACGGUUUCAUCAGAUGUAACCGCUGGAGGAAACUGGGAGAAGUCUCAAGACAAUACCAUAUAUUCGCAUAGAUCUAUCUGCUUCCUCUGAGUCCAGACUUUAUGCGAGUUAAUUAAGAAUGUCUGUCUUCAAGAAGACCAACAGAAAAGAGUGACCACAAUGGACUUAAGUCUGAAUCCCUGAGAACACACAGCACAGAGAAAAAUGAAAAGCAUCAUGCCACACUCCAUACAUUGGACGCCAACCAGCAAGAGACGGGGA